rnacentral:lncRNA from 1 species
CUGGUAAUUAGGUAUUUUCAAAGACAUAUGUGUAUAUAUGUCUCUGGUAUUUUAUAGGAGCUUGUGUACAGGGCACUUUAUUGUAGACUUUUAUUAUUUUAGCCCCCUUUUAUUUAGACUCCAUUAUUUAUUUUUUUAAUUUUCUUUUAGUAUAUAGUAUCAUUACAACCGUGCGUUAAAACUAGGAAUUAAUAGUCAAUUGAAAAACAC